ensembl:lncRNA COPS8-DT COPS8 divergent transcript
GACAUCGCUGCGGCCGGGAUAGGGCGCCGCCGUUCUGGCCGGCUUUCUCGGUGCCCUGGAGGACCUGGCCGGCUCCGCGGGAAGCUGUACUCAGAGCGCGCGGCCGCCCUCUGGCAGGGAGGAGUUCGUUGCACUUUUGAGGGUUCUUCACGAAGACAUCCAAUACAUAGAAAACAAGUAACAGCAACAGUAACGAAUUUUUAAAUAUUAAAAUUGCUGGGGAACACGACGGAUCCUGCAGCUGCUCGGCUGUCCCGGUCGUCAGUGACGCUAGGGCUCCGCACCGUACCCUGCAUACCGUAGGUGCUCACGAAACGUUCGUGAGUUCCCUGCUCUGAGGAAACAAGCUUAAAAACUCAGAAUCUAAGGUGUGAGUCUCCGCAAACCUGCUUGUUGGGCAGCGUCCCCCGCCCGGGCUAGCCCUGCACGCCCCACCCCGGAGCCACGCUUCUCCAGCCGGGACCCCUGCCUCCUUCCAGGCUAUUCUCGGAACCGCAGCCAGAGGGAAUUUUUUUUUCCUUUCCUGAAACGUAGAGCAGAUCUGGUUACUCUUCUGCACAACGCCCUAAAAUCUAGGGCCCUUCCCAUCCCUCAGAAUUUACAUCUAAUUCUCAGCUCCCCUCCGGCUUGCUGUAGCCAUCCUGGCUUUUGUUUAGCACAGCACUUACUGUUAGUGACAUUAUAUUGUAUAUUAUUAACAUAUUUGUGUUUUACAUCCCUCACUAGACCCCCAGGAAAGAGGCUUUGAUGUGUUGCCUGCUGCAAGGCUGGCUGCAUAAUUUGUGGAGCUCAGAGAAAAGUGCGGAGCUUCCUUGUUCAAAAAACAGAAAGAAAGUGCCUCUGAGGUCAUAAAAUAUAAAACUUUCUCUUUCCUCUCAGUUUCUCUCUUUUCAUAGUGUUUUUAUGUGUUAUUUAAUAUCAUUCCAAGAAAAAUUUAGAUUUAAAUUGUUAGCAUGAAGUUCACCAUCCAUCUUUACGUUGUGCAAUGCCAGUUUUAAAUACUAAUAUAAGUGCACUGAUCUCAUAUGUGGAAUCACAGAAAUUAUGCAAUUUGUACUUCAUAGCUUAUACAUGCAUAUAGAUUUUGUUUUUACCAGAACCACGCUGGUAAAAACAGAUGCUGCACAAAGUGAACUUGCCCGUUUUCAUCGCACUUUACGUGCACGAAUUCUACCUCUACUCUCGACCUGGGACUCACCGAUGCGUAAGGAAGGACUGAAAAGCAAAAGAACUAUGGACUGGCCUUUUGGCAUGAUCAGGUGUCUAAUAUAAAGAAGUGCAUGAAUAAGAAAAUAUAUGAUAUGAGUGAUGGUUAAUACUGACUGUCAACUUGAUUGGAUUGAAGGAUGCAAAGUAUUGAUCCUGGGUGUGUCUGUGAGGGUGUUGCCAAAGGAGAUUAACAUUUGAGUCAGUGGGCUGGGAAAGUUCGACCCACUGUUAAUCUAGAUGGACACCAUCUAAUCAGAUGCCAGUGCAGCUAGAAAUGUAAAGCAGACAGAAAAAUGCGAAAAGAGAGACUGGCCUAGCCUGCCAGCCUACAUCUUUCUCCCACGCUGGAUGCUUCCUGCCCUCGAACAUCAGACUCCAAGUUCUUCAGUUUGGGACUUGGACUGGCUCUCCUUGUUCCUCAGCUUGAAGACUGCCCAUUGUGGGACUUGUGAUCAUAGGUGGAGCACCUAUCCAGUGAGGCUGUGAGGAAGGCCUUAUACCAAGAAUAGGAGAAAGCUAGAAGGAGCCCAUACCUCUGACUGCCCUUGACUGCCCACGCAAGAACUCAUGCUGGAAAAACAAAGCCCUGUUUAGGUGCCAUGAUAAAUAAGCCAGUUUGAGUCACUUGGUCUAAUAUCGAGACCACGAACAUAUUGAUCACAGAAUGUGUUAGGAUAACAGAAGUUCAAGAGGAAAGGACAGUGAGAGACCAUGACUAAAGAAUUACUCCGUGAACAACUCAGGAGGACCAGCUAUGAUUUCACUCUCAUUCAAAAAAGAGAAAUAAUAUUUCUUUCAGCUGCUACCCAUAAAAUAUUUUUGAAUGUGUGUACAAUGUUCAUGCUGUAAUGGCUGCUCUAUCAUGAAGGAUGUGUUGACACCUCGUGGGUGGCUUUUCACAAUCCCCUUGGACACAGAUUGGGGGAUUGACGGCCCCAUCCCCUCAUUUUCCACACCGAGGGGCAGUUGGGAUAUGCAUAAAAUCUUGUUCUCUAGUUAGGACCUGUUGCUAUAAAUCUAGCAUCAAGAGUAUCACUAUUUUCUAAACACUUUGCCAGACAGCCUUCGGAGUAUAAUUUUCUGAAGUUUAUAAAGCAUAACUCAUACACACACCUAGUGACCAUGUUCUGAAGGUAUAUUUAACUCCUGCAUGAGGGAACAGGCAGGAUGAAAGUGGGUUCUAAGGAAGAGACUAGCAUAUAUGAUCAACGGGGAAAAAUGAAGAGUAAGCUUGAAACCGCCUUUGCAAAAAUUAUAACCGAGGAGAUUAUGACAGUGAAGGAGAUCAGACCUAACCGACCCCAUCUUGCUUCUAACCUUUAAGCUGUCCUUGUUCAUUCCUGGGUGUAGGCCGAACUAACUUUGGGAAGGAAUUUGUUCGUGGUUUGACUCUGAAACAAAAAAAUUGAUAAUAGCCCUUUCCCGAAAAGACCGCCUUCUUGCCUGGGGACCAGUCUGCCUUUGCAGGACCAACAAAUUAACUACGAGAUUAGAAAUUACAGUUUAGGGGUCCUGCAGCCUCUGACUCCAAGAGUCUGACCCUCCCCACAUUGCUUCUGGGGAUAACAUCACUAUUAUAAAACCUAAGAUCAGUGCUUGAGAUAUUUUGCAGACCCUGCACUGGAUGGAUCAGCUGACACCACCCAGACCCGUAAUCUGGAUCAACCAGUUCUGCCAUCCCACCCAGGAACAGAAGAUGCAAGAAAAACUCACUUUGACCCUCUAUGAUUCCAUCUCCAACCUGACCAAUCAGUACUCCCCACUUCCCAAGCCCCUGCCUGCCAAAUUAUCUUUAAAAACUCUGAUCCCCGAAUGCUUGGAGAGGCUGAUUUGAGUAACAACACAACUCUGGUCUCCUGCACAGCCAGUUCUGUGUGAACUACCCUUCGCCCAUUGCAAUUCCCCUGUCUUGAUAAAUUGGCUCUGUCGAGGCAGUGGGCAAGGUGAACCCACUGGGCAGUUACAAGACUGCAAAGUUAGAAACAAAACUGGCAAUGCCCCAUGGGUCAAAAAUAAUCAAUUAAUUCAUAACAUUUGACUUGAUUAAGUUUUCUACUGGACAGAAACAAUUUGCAACUUAUCCUUCCUCUACAUUGUUUGACUGCCAUGUCAAUUGUAAGUAUUAGAUCAAAUUUUAAAAUAAUUAUUUUAGAGCUUCAGAUGCACCUUACAUGGGCUUGUUAGAUUGUUAGACACUGCUUAGUGACAUUGAAAGAGGGCACAAUACUUUUUUUGCCUUAUUUCUAAGUUGUGGGUAUCCUUUUCUUAACACUUCUUUUCUGUGAUUCUAUGCAAGACAAUCGUUGAUGAAAUGGGAUUUUCUGGAUGGAAAGUCCGUGUACUUUACUGAAACCUCUUUCUACAGUUCUGUCUUUCAAGUGGGAUUCUGUGAGCUGACUCAUGACAGCUGAGCAUCAUCGGAGAUUGGCUUCAAUGGUCCUCAAUGUGCAGAACAUAAAUAGCAAUUUCUACCAUCAUUCAAUAGCAUUUGUGGGUCCUUUUAUAUGGAGUAUAUAAAAGUAUUUGCAGGUCUUGGUUUAUCUGUCCCCACGUGACAUACCUAUAGAACAGGUAUUUUCAUCCCAGCUACUUAUUAUAAAUAUUUAAUAAGUAGGCUAAUGGUUUGGAAUUCUAUUUCUCUAUUUGCAUGAGUCAAAUAAUAGACCAAAUUCUUUCAAAAAGAGGAGAUGUUAACAUACCAAAAGAAACUGAAACAAGAGCAUUGAACCCACGGUGCCCUUCAGAAACACCUGCCAACAAUGGGGCAGAGUGUCCAGCUGCCUGGACAGUGUGUGCAGGGGCGGGGCCCUUCCUGUUCACAAUGGCUUUGCCUGGCAGUUAAAAUGCAAAUGGAGGGCAGACUGAGAGUGCAUCACCCUCUCACAUCUCAGAGUCUAAAAGGCGGCCUUUCAGUGCCUUCUGUUCAAAUUGCAAAUGCUCUUCCUUUAUCCCCCAAGGCCUGGGAGACAGUUCUGAAUAAUUCUUCCCCAACAAAUUGGCUUUCCUCUUCCCAGCAACAAAAGCCCUUAUUGGUUUUAAAAGUGCAAAGAACAAAUUUUAUUCAAGGGUCUUAAGGCAGAUGAAGGUUCACAGAAACUACAAGGGCAGUUCCAGGGCCUCCACGUACGACCGUGUCCCUAUAACGACUGGUCCUUAUAAGAGGCCAGCAACAGUAUCUUAUUUUCCUGUACAGGCCUGGGAUUCCCAGUAAUUUCUUUGCAUUGGCUUUGUAAGCACAAUUACCCAGAGUUUCCGAGAAUUGGGACAUUUCCAAGAAAUUGCCCAAUGGGUCAGUGGAGUGCUGUCAAAUGAGAUGGACCAUCUUAAAAUCAAAACGUGGGUGGUUUCUGCUCAUUGCUGAGCAUUUCACUUCCAUUCUGAAAAGUCUAAGAACGUCACUCCAGGAGAUACAAUGUCAAGGGCUCCCGCCACUCUUCAUCAUUGCCCAAGUCAUAAGAAUCAUCCCCCAAAUUCCUUCUAUUUCUCCAAGGUAGGGUAACCCAGGGCUGGGUAAGCCUGUUAGGGCAGGUCAGGUUGGCACAUACCGAGGAGGAACUCAGACAGACAGACAGCGCCAGGGGACCAGCGGCACUGUGUGCUCAUCACCACCCUCAGG